GGGUGUCUCUGCCACCGUGGCUGCUGUUGCUGUCGAAUAGAAGAGGGAGGGAGGCUGUCGCACUUCUAGCUGCCGCUGAAGCUCCCCUCACCACUGUCAACGUUGGUUAGGGCAGAGGAGAAGAGGAAGAAUAACGGAGAAGUGAGACUGACGGAGAGGGUAAUACGGUUGUUGUUGAUUUGGAGCUGCUACAAGAACGGUGUUUCCUGCUUCUAAUCCCUGUCCUUUUGAUUUUUGGAGCUGCCAUGGAUGGAGCUUGUAAUCAGAGAAAGCAAGCUGCCGCCACCAACUCUUAAUUCAACCAGUGUCUUCCUCCUUGUUCUGAUUUCAAUUUUCCUAUUUUUGAAACCCCCCUUUCUGGCACCUAUUUCCUGUUACAAUUAGGUCGAGUAUUGAAGCUGGUGCUGCCAUGGGACGGUUGAAGCUGUUACUGAUUCUAAUUUUGCUAUCUGGAGCUGAAAUUGCUUUGGAUUCCUAUCCAAUUUGAAUCCUCUAUCUUACUGCAACCAUGGUCAGUGCUGCGAAGGCUAAUAUUGUUGCUGUUCCGGUUGCGUGAGAGUUACCGCUGCUGCCUUGAAACUAAAAGAGAAGAGAGUUGUUACGUUAAAGUAUGCGAUUGCGACAUCGAGGUAGGGGGUUUAAAACGAUUUCAAUUUAAAAAUGCCUACAAGGUUUAUUGAAUAACUGCAAAUAGAUUUAAUACCUGUGAGUAAUUGUUUGACUAUGUGAAUAUUGAAUUGUGGCUGAAAUUGUAAUUGGAAUGGUUGGGAUUGUGAUUUGGAAUUGUUGAUUAGUGAUAUUGAUUGAUUGUGUGGACUGGGAAUUGUUUGAUGACUAAUUGUUGAGAAUUCCUGAAUUUUAAUGGGUUAUGUUGGAUUUGUUGCCAUUGAGUUGUUAUUUGGUAUAUUGUAAUGUUAAUGAACUUGGUUGGUGGUUGGUUUGGAAUUGGUUUUGAGGGGUUUUGAAGGGUUGGAUUUUGAAUACUAAAUAGAUUGCUGAAAAUCUGAUUUUUGAAAUUAAAAAGUGACUUUGGAAGUGAAUCAGUUAUUCAAUGAUAAUCGAAAUUGUAUAAGAGUAAAGGCUGAGUAAAGUAUGAUAAAAGUUGUUGAGACUCAAUUUUGAGAAGUUUGAAUUAAUUAUAGAACUAGUUAUGAUUUUUCAAGGUUAAAAUGUAAAACUGGAUUUUCUGCAUUAUUUUUAAAAGAAGCCGGAAACUUUGAAAAACUAUAACUAUUUCUGUGAUUAUUGGAAUUGCGUGGGACCAAGUCCGGAUUGAGCUUGGGAAUAUAGGGAACUGGACUGCUGAAUUUGAGACUUUUUCACUAAGUUUAUGAUUUAUGGUAAAUUUUUGAAUUAUGGAAGUCGAAUCUGGUUUUUCUGCUGAGCAUUUAACACAGCAGCAACUUGUUUCCUCUAUUAGAAA